rnacentral:lncRNA from 10 species
AAGAGACAGCGCCGCCGGCCGUGGGGAGCGGACGCAGUGAUUUGCUCCCCCUCGUGCAGCAACCCCCACACCCAGCACCAGGCCCCCAGAACUCUCCUUCCAGCUGAACUCCCUGGGAACAAGUCAGUUGGGCUGAUCACUGAACUCACAUUUCUGGACCUGAGGAGCCUGUUCCUCUCACGCCCUCACCUGGCUGAGCCGCAGUAGUUCUUCAGUGGCAAGCUUUAUGUCCUGACCCAGCUAAAGCUGCCAGUUGAAGAACUGUUGCCCUCUGCCCCUGGCUUCGAGGAGGAGGAGGAGCUGCUUUCCCCAUCAUCUGGAAGGUGACAGAAAUGGGCUGGGAAGGUCCGAACAGCAGGGUGGAUGAUACGUUUUGGGCAAGUUGGAGAGCCUUUGCCCAGAUUGGCCCAGCAAGGAGCGGUUUUAGAUUAGAGACACUGGCUGGAUUGAGGAGUAGAAGGCUCAAACAACCCAAGGCUUUCUGCCUCCGAGAUGUGGCACCAUAGUGCGGUGCCCUGUGGCUUCACCGCCCUACUUCCACCUCCGCCCAGCCUGUAAUGUUUAUAUAAGCAGCCUCAAGGACCAAGAACCAUCUGCGAAAGGACACACACAGGAAAUUCAUAAAAGAAAUCUGAAUGGAUAAAACCAUGAAAAAAAGUAUGCUUCAUUAGUAAUUAAAGAAAGGCAAAUAGAGCUGGAAGCAUUUUUCCCUUAGCAAACCAUAACAGAAAAAAAUAAGACCCAAUAUUGGCAAAGAGACUACUGAAAAAACAUUCCCAUACAUUGCGUGUGGGAGUAUACAUCGGUGCAGGCUUCCUGGAUGACAGUUGGGUGAUAUGUGUCAUGUGGCCUAAAAGCCUCCAUGUCAUUUGACCUACGAAUUCUAUCUUUGGGAAUUUAUCCUAAGAAAAUACUUAAGGAUUUAGUUAGUGAUAAGAUGUUCAUCCCAGCAUUGCAAUGGAGAAAAAUGGGAAGCAAUGGUUUGGUUGGGAAUUUAUUCCUUUUCUGCUGUAACGAAAGUUUGCAAUAGGGGAUUGCUUAAGUAAAUUAUUGUAUCUCCAUCCAGAUGGUGGAGUACCGCGCAGACAUUAAAAGUCAUGUAAAAGAACAUCUGACUGAAAGAAAAAUGCUCCUUGAAUAUUAAAAGGUUGUAAAAAUAGUGCAUGUUAUGUGAUUUCAAUUUUGUUUUUUAAAAUAUGGGUGUAUGCUUGUAUACGUAGAGCAGAUAAAAAAGACGGAAGGCAUACUAAAAAAUGUUGAGUGGUUAUCUUUGUAUGGUGGAACAAAGUCACUGUAAUUUUCAUCUUUGGUUUUUCUGUAAUUUCCAAAUUUUCCACAUUUUGUAUUUCAUAUAAUAUAAUUUAA